AUGUAGCGAGCUGAGUGGGGAGGAGAGAGGGACAGAGAGCCUGCUUGCUUUAAAGGAACCAACCGGACAGGAGCACUUACACUCGUGUAAGUGGCUCCUCUCCUCUCCCGCUUUUCUCCUUUAAAGAAGCAGGCUCUCUGUCCCUCUCUCCUCCCCACUCAGCGGCUCUUCUC
rnacentral:miRNA from 1 species